UGUGGGGCAGCUGAAUGGGGGUCGUUGUAGGCUGAACUUCUCGUUCACUGGGUACGUCAAUUUUUUGUCUGUAUAGCUUUCCUCCCCUCAUGAAAAAGAAAAGCUUAUAUUUAUAGGCUUACGACCUCGCUACCUCUGAUUACUCUGAUGAACUCUGUUUAUUAGUUGAAAGUUCCUACAUGUAAUUAAUUGUAUAAAGUGUGUAGAUUACAUUUACUUUUCACCUAAUGCUUUAACUUGCCCAUCUCUCAACACAGGUUUUUAAUGCUUUUUAGAAUUGUACAUGUUAACAUUAUUUUAACUGUCUUGUUCUCAUGAAGAUAGUUUUGCGGGUGCUGUUCUCAACAAAUAGGCCCCCAUCUCACAAUGUACUGUAUCUUCUUGCCUGGAGCAAAUAGUGGUUAGUGAGUUUAGAUGCACAGAGUUCCAAAGAUCUAAUGAAUGUUAUGGCGAAUAGGAGCAGACUAACACAUUUUGCUAGACAAGUUCAUAACCAAAGGAAAAAAAAAUGUACUUAAGAUAUAUAGCAUACUAAAUUAUUUCACUUCUGAUUUUAAUUUUAUUUUACUGUACAAAAAUCUAAAUAACAAUUGUAUUGUAGGUCCACACAAAUGAAAUCCACAGUUGUGUUUGAGUGUUGACCAGUGACACUUGAGACUAAGGAGUGUUUCUGUGUGGUUUGCAAGGAAAGCUUGUGGUGAUUGGUGGGCUGGUAUUAACGUAAACUUUACAUGUUAAGCAAAUGCAAAGUUUACAUUGUUCCCAGAAUGUUAUUUUUUUUCUAUGUUACAAGGGUCCUUCUCAUCACUUUAUAUGCCCAGACAUAAAAACAGGACUCAAUGACGUAUGUUCAGACCAAAAAAAAAGAUAGAAAUUAUAAUAAUCAAUAUUUUAAUGUGAAGUUCUACGUUAGCUUGUUACUUUAUUGAGCUGGACUUGUGAAAGCUUGUAUUGGAAGGGAGAGGCAAGGAUGCACUGGACAUUUCAGUUCUUCACUCACCCCCUAAAUGAAUAACUCAAUUUUAUUCCCUCAUGCUUACCACCCACAUGGUUUUGAAAAUUCCAUAUUGCCUUCUACUUAAGUUAUUAAAUGUUUCUUUAUUAACAUUUUAUGACAGAUUUUAAACAAAAUUACUGGAAGAAUGCCUGUCCUUCUAGAUCAGAGGUGUCAAACCGGUUCCACGGAGGGCCGAGUGUCUGCAGGUUUUUGCUCUCUCCUUGUACUUGAUUGGUUAAUUAGGUCACUGAUUGGUUAGUUUCUACCCUCACCUGGUUGUGUAGGUAUGAACUAGGAACCAAUUUAUAGGAAAAACCAAAAACCUGCAGACACUCGGCCCUUUGUGGAACCGGUUUGACAUCUAGAUUAUUCUUCAUUGAAACCCAAGCUGCCUGUCCGGGCUUGUCCAGUGUGUCCCAACUCUUAUGGUACACUAACGGGGAGGGAAAACUUCAGUGCAAGUUUUUGGUAUAGGCAUUCCUCUUAUAUUUGUUGUAACUGUCUUUUUACAAAUUUCUAUUCCUCCUUGGUCGUUAUGGUUGGUCUGUGAAAUGAUUUUGUCAUCUUGCAGCUGCAGUCACAAGCAUUGCUAUUGUUUCUGCUUCUUGGACUCUGAGAUGUUACUUUCUUUUGAAUGUUUUUCUUGAUAUUCCGAGGUAAAGGCAAUUACUGCUUGGUGAUUGCGUGGUGUAUUUUCAACACUCCCCCCACCCACCAACCUGUUGUGUAAUUUUUUUCUUAUCUGUGACCUCGUUAUUCGGGAGUCCAUAAUGCAUUGCCUUUAAACGCUAUUGUUCUUGUUAGCACUCAAGCAGUACAGCAUAAUAUCUGUGGUGUGCAAAAUAUUUGUUAUUUUUUUUUACAGCAAGGUCUUUAGCCUUCUCUGCAAAGACUUUGCAGCUGCAGUCGAACGGGCGUUUGUUCAUUCGGCGAAAAAGAAGAAAAUACGAACUCAAACUGUGACCAUACUACUAUUAUUAUUACUACUACUACUUCUCAAAUACUUCAGGGAUUGUUCUGCAUCUAUGAAUGUAGGACUCUCAGCUACAUUUGUAAGACAUAGUAUUGUAUCAAUUUCUGUAUUUUAUUCACGGGAAAAGCAAACACUAGUUUCAUAUUUAAAGAUUAAAAAAAUUGGGGGGUACUUUUUCAACUAACACAAAGAGCCUUGACAAAAGGCAGGGCAGCUCAAUACAAAAGUCUACUUUUUAGUUAGUAUCAGAAUGUUCCGUAAGAGUCGCAAAGGUGUAUAAAAACGAAGAAAAAAUGCUCAUACCCAAAUCCACAAACUAUUUUUUAAACCAAAGCACAUUUGAAUGAUUAUGGAACCAUGUGUGGCUCUAAAAAAGAUACAUAUGUAUUUAUCUCAUUGUUUACAUAAACUUUUACAGUUUUUACAGACCUCAGUCGAGACUAGGCCAGUCAGAGGCAUGUCUGUAUGUGUUUGUUGCUUUUUUUUUCCUCCACAGGGGUUUAUCUGCCAAAACAAAAUUCAACAUCCUGCAGCAUGUUUAAAAUGGCUGAAGCUAAGGGGUACAGUUUUUGCGGUGCGUUGCCCCCUUCUGCCAGCUGGCUUUAUGGUGGCCCUGUGGGGAGUCUGAUGGGUUUAGGGUUAGAGUUGAAGGCUCAGGGUGGAAGCCGGUGACACUUCCAUGACAUAUUCAUCAAAGGGCAUUGUCCUUGGCUAUCAGUUUUAUUUUUUCUUGUGUAAUCAAUGCCCUUGAUUAGUAUGUCUGCUGCUUGGGUCUUUUAAAUAUGCAGGGAUCUAAAGAAGUGUGAGGAUCGGGGGUUCGUUGCCCAAAGGGCUGAAGUGGCGUUGGAACUUGUUUACACAGGCUAACCAAUUCUAGGCAAAAUAGCAUAUCUGAUUGAUUGGUCGAAAGUUGAAACAGAUCCCUACUAUACCUCACAGAUCCUUGCAUUUAGGAGUUUCAAAACCUUAUUUUGGAAACUAUAGUGACUGUAAUUCAUUAAUUGCAUGUAAGCAGGUCUAUUUGCUAGGGUUUUAACUGUGAAUGUUGAUGUUUUCUGCGUAUUUGAUGUUGGAAAAAGAUAAUGAUGAUUACUUAGCUGCCUGUGUGUAAAAGCAGCAUAAUCCUCUGACUGGCCUCGCCUCAUACAAAGUUGGUGCAAACACUUAACAGUGUUCUUUGUUCUUCUUUUUAUUUUUUAUCAAAUGUCUAUUUUUGUCAGUGAUGAAUGUAUUUAUUUCACUGGUCCUGCCCUUGCGUCUGCUAAGACAUUUCUCAGCAUGUGAGACCGAGGUCCAGGCAGGUCCUUUUUCUUGGAUUUUAUUGUUUUGUUUUGAGGAUUUCAAGCUGAGAAACAAAAAUGAGACACAGAACAUAGCCAUUAACCACAAUCUGUGAAGUUGUAGACUUUUAUUGGGGUGAACGGAUUUGGCGGUGACGUUCUAUGAAAUUUUUAUACCGUUUCUCAGCUAAAACAAACAAACAGUCUGUACCGUUUUAAUGUUGUUUUACUCACAAUGGGUGUUUGUGCCCAGAUGUUUUGGGUACCAACAGGAGUUUCUCACUUGUUGGCUGGACAUUGGGGGCUAACGUCCAUUGUUCAACCCCCUAUGUUCCUCUGCAGUAGUUGUCACAGCACAUCUGUGGGCCAAAUAUUGUAUCUCUUCCCAAACAUGCUCUUCCUGGGUGUUGCCAUGCUACAGCCAUGUAGAAAACAUAUUCCUCCCUGUCAGUCACACAGCUGAAUCUUUUUUUUCAGCUUCUAACUUCACGUCAUUCCUUCUCUGAACAAGUGUUGUCUCGGUUGCAUUUUCUUGUCCUCAACCACUCGCCGGUACUCAUUUUUUAAGCUUUAGUUUUUUGUCUCUACCACUUCUGUAGAGUGAGGGGGUUUAAGGUAUGUGGGUCGAGAUAGCUUUAUGAAAUGCACUUUGAAUUUUUUUUCUUUUUGGGGGGUCUGUCACAUCGGUUUAAGUAAAAUGCAUUUUUCUCUCUCUCUCGAACCUCAUCAUUGUAGCUGUACCAUUUGUCUGAAAAAAAUAUAAUUAUGCAGUGUUACAAGGCUUUAAGAAACAUUGUACAAAGUUCUGGGAACUCAAACCAAAAUAUUUUCCCUACUCAAAGCUUGUCGGAGUUACCUAUAGCUGUAGUUAUACCUGUGAGAUUGUCUAGAUUUCACCUUUCCACCUCCUAUUUCUUUUCCCCAUCCCCUGGCUGUAUUCGUUAGGUCUGGUCUGAACUGUGACUACAGAGCAGCUGCGAUUGACCACAUCUGACAAAACCAAAGCUAGUUUUAAAAUGGCCCCUGGAUCACCACAGAGAGUUCUCGAGCUAAGGCGUACAUUUAACCUCUUCUUAAAGCUUUACUACCACUCGCCUUUACCGACAAUGCACCAAACCCUACAAUAACUGUCCCUAUGACUGCAUCCUCAGCCUCCGUGAAUAGUGAUUGUGGUUUCUUUCCACAUAUCUUGAACGACGGCAUGUUACUCAUAUUCCAAGUCAGUAUUUACCUACAAGGGCAAAAAAAACACAAUUACCUCAACUGUGUUUUCAGUCAUAUGCUAACUUGCUAUUUACUUCUCAGCAUUACUGCAGAUGCAUUAGUGUUUUUAUUUAUUUUAUUUUACCGUCCGGUUGUACCAAUAUAACUUGUUUUUAAAAAGUGUUUAUCACAGUCUCGUCAAAGGACUUUUUCAAAAGUAACUUGUCUCGUCUCACACCUCGCCACACGAAUGCGCUCCACAUUGACGGAAGGACAUUAUCCGCUGCUAAACUAGUACUUGAAAAUCUUGAUUAACGGAGUUGUCCACAAAGCAGGUGUAUCAAGCUGCUGUCCGGCAUAUUUUUCAUGAACAGCCAGCCUUUCAAUAAUGUAGGAGGAUCCAGUUGCUCUGAGUUUCUGGAUUGGACAUGUAAGGGUCUUGAACUAUAAAUUAUUGAGGGCUAACACUCCCUUCCCCCUUACACACACAAACAGCCGCUCUUCCACACUUGUUUAUUCAAACACAUAUGGUCUAAUGCAAUGACCACCUCUUGCUAGCGGCAGCACCCAGGCGAAGCUCUUCUCUACACUUUAUAGAGAGCUCGUAUUCAGGUCAGAGCUGUCGCUGCGGCGAUGGGGCUCGCUAACUUAGUGUCAUAAGUGUACUACAGCUGACCUCAGCACUCACAACCUUGCAGUCUUAAUGUACAGCGGUGAGGAAAAUAAACUGUUAUUUUAUGAUCUUUUCAUUAAAAGCUUGAUUGAAAACCAA
ensembl:lncRNA